rnacentral:rRNA from 1 species
UACGUAGGGGCGAGCGUGUCCGGAUUUAUUGGGCGUAAAGAGCGUGUAGGCGGCCAGGUAGGUCUGCUGUGAAAACUCGAGGCUCAACCUCGAGACGUCGGCGGAAACCAUCUGGCUAGAGUCCGGAAGAGGAGAGUGGAAUUCCUGGUGUAGCGGUGAAAUGCGCAGAUAUCAGGAAGAACACCCGUGGCGAAGGCGGCUCUCUGGGACGGUACUGACGCUGAGACGCGAAAGCGUGGGAGCAA